rnacentral:lncRNA from 10 species
UUGGAAACAGACAUGUCAUGGCUGAGUUAUUUUUUGUGCAAACAAGGACACAUCUGCCUCUCCAGGACCUCAGAUUCCUGACAACACUGUUGGCUUCCCGGAGACUCCUUCAUCCUGCAGAAGAUGCAAUUCCACGGGGUCCUGAGAGAUUGGACAUGGGUGGGAUGUGGCAGUCCUCAUGGAAGACUCUUGAACAAGUGUCGCAACAGAACAGCUCCCCUCCGUCCCGGCACACCUCACACUCAUCCAAGUUUCUCAUCUAGAAGACAUCUGGCUGUGGGCUGUGAGACAUAAACCUCCAUGUCAAGCUCAUACAAAAUCAGCCACGCAAACACUGACCUCCAGGGCUGUUUUAACCAUUCGUGAGUCCCUGAGUUGGCCGGGCAUCAAAAUCAGUGUGGAAAAGACCUAAAUCUGAUUGGAGGACUGCUUUGGAGGUUCUCAUUCACACCCAGUCUUCGAAAAACCAUCACCUUGUCCUGAAUCUACACUGCACUUAACCUAUUUGUUUGUUGCGUUCUUAAGUGAAGGAAAAAUCACUUUCACAGAUAAAAAGCAGGUCUGCACAGUCCCUCUGGUAGAACCAAAGAGGUGGCAUCAACAUAAAAGAUUUUCCUGGUCAGCUCCUCCUGUAAAAUACGUUUGCCUCUGGAGAUCUUCCUCCCCAAUGGCACCAUCUUGACAAAGGUCACUGGAAGUAAAGGAGCCUGAAAAUCCACAGUUUCAUCUUUGUGCUUUCUUGAAGCUGAAAGAGAGGAUUUCUUCAUUCUGUCUCACUUUGCAAAGGCACAUCCCCCCUUCCCACUGAGUGGACUUGAUGAAAGCAUCUCAUGGAAGAAA